rnacentral:rRNA from 1 species
UACGGAGGGUGCAAGCGUUAUCCGGAUUCACUGGGUUUAAAGGGAGCGUAGGUGGGCUGGUAAGUCAGUGGUGAAAUCUCCGGGCUUAACUCGGAAACUGCCGUUGAUACUAUCAGUCUUGAAUGUUGUAGAGGUAAGCGGAAUAUGUCAUGUAGCGGUGAAAUGCUUAGAUAUGACAUAGAACACCGAUAGCGAAGGCAGCUUGCUACACAAUUAUUGACACUGAGGCUCGAAAGCGUGGGGAUCAAACAGG